UACGUAGGUGGCAAGCGUUGUCCGGAAUUAUUGGGCGUAAAGCGCGCGCAGGCGGUUCUUUAAGUCUGAUGUGAAAGCCCACGGCUCAACCGUGGAGGGUCAUUGGAAACUGGGGAACUUGAGUACAGAAGAGGAAAGCGGAAUUCCACGUGUAGCGGUGAAAUGCGUAGAGAUGUGGAGGAACACCAGUGACGAAGGCGGCUUUCUGGUCUGUAACUGACGCUGAGGCGCGAAAGCGUGGGGAGCAAACAGG
rnacentral:rRNA from 1 species